GAUGAAGAACGUUAGCGAAAUGCGAUAACUAAUGUGAAUUGCAGAAUUCCGUGAAUCAUCGAGUCUUUGAACGCACAUUGCGCCCCCUGGUAUUCCGGGGGGCAUGCCUGUCCGAGCGUCAUUGCUGCCCAUCAAGCACGGCUUGUGUGUUGGGUCCUCGUCCCCCCCGGGGGACGUGCCCGAAAGGCAGCGGCGGCACCGCGUCCGGUCCUCGAGCGUAUGGGGCUUUGUCACCCGCUCUGCAGGCCCGGCCGGCGCUGGCCGACGCGAAAGCAACCAUUUUUUCUCCAGGUUGACCUCGGAUCAGGUAGGGAUACCCGCUGAACUUAAGCAUAUCAAUAAGCGGAGGA
rnacentral:misc_RNA from 1 species